rnacentral:rRNA from 1 species
UACGGAGGGUGCAAGCGUUAUCCGGAUUCACUGGGUUUAAAGGGUGCGUAGGUGGGUUGGUAAGUCAGUGGUGAAAUCCCCGAGCUUAACUUGGAAACUGCCAUUGAUACUAUCAGUCUUGAAUACCGUGGAGGUUAGCGGAAUAUGUCAUGUAGCGGUGAAAUGCUUAGAUAUGACAUAGAACACCAAUUGCGAAGGCAGCUGGCUACACGAAUAUUGACACUGAGGCACGAAAGCGUGGGGAUCAAACAGG